rnacentral:rRNA from 1 species
UGGGGAAUCUUAGGCAAUGGGCGCAAGCCUGAUCUAGCCAUGCCGCGUGAGCGAUGAAGGCCUUAGGGUUGUAAAGCUCUUUCAGGGGGGAAGAUAAUGACUGUACCCCCAGAAGAAGCCCCGGCUAACUCCGUG